UACGGGGGGGGCAAGCGUUGUCCGGAAUUAUUGGGCGUAAAGAGCUCGUAGGCGGUCUGUCGCGUCGGCUGUGAAACCUUGGGGCUCAACCCCAAGCCUGCAGUCGAUACGGGCAGACUAGAGUGCGGUAGGGGAGACUGGAAUUCCUGGUGUAGCGGUGAAAUGCGCAGAUAUCAGGAGGAACACCGGUGGCGAAGGCGGGUCUCUGGGCCGGAACUGACGCUGAGGAGCGAAAGCGUGGGGAGCAAACAGG
rnacentral:rRNA from 1 species